AUCGCUUCUCGGCUCUCUGAGCUCUGGUCAAGUGUAGUAUCCGUUCUUAUCAGUUUAAUAUCUGAUAUGUCCUUUAUUUGAAACUAACCCGUCCCCCCCAUUUACAUUAAUUCUUAUGGGGAAAUUGGAUUCGCUUAACAUUGUUUUGCUUAAAGUCGCAUUUUUCAGUAACAUAACUACAAUGUUAAGUGAAGAGUUACUGGA
rnacentral:snRNA from 1 species